rnacentral:misc_RNA from 1 species
GAUGAAGGAACGUAGCGAAAUGCGAUAAGUAAUGUGAAUUGCAGAAUUCAGUGAAUCAUCGAAUCUUUGAACGCAUCUUGCGCUCCUUGGUAUUCUGAGGAGCAUGCCUGUUUGAGUGUCAUUAAAUUCUCAACUACACUGACUUUGAAUUGGUGUGGCUUGGAUUUGGGGGGAAAAUUGUUGUGGGCUUUUUGUAUAGUCUGCUCCCCUGAAAUUGAUUAGCGGUACCUUUGUGGAACUGUCUACAGGUGUGAUAAUUAUCUACAUCUUAGACAUCUGCUGGAAUGCUGCUUUCUAAACCUUACUUGUAUUGACAAUCUUGACCUCAAAUCAGGUAGGACUACCCGCUGAACUUAAGCAUAUCAAUAAGCGGAGGA